AUGGCAAGAGGGACGGCAAAGAUCAACCGUUGCCAGCCGCUCCGGCCACACAAGCUCCUCCAUGAACUGCAGAGGAGGCACGCGGGUCACCGGAGAAAGAGAUCGAGGCGGCGGCGGUCUUCACCGGAGGCGGAGAAGAUGAAGUACUCCGGCGGCGCGACCGCAUCUGAAGGAGACGACGCGACCUGCAGGCGAGGCGAGCGACCGGGCGGCGGCUUGGCUUGGGGCCUCCCCGCGGCUGGCGAGCACGACAUACCCGUGCGGCCUGUGCGCCGGGGCGGGCGGCCGACGCGGCGGUGGCAGGGUGGCACAGGCGCGCGCCGCGACGCGCGCGGUGGCGUGGCUGCUGCUCACGGUCUACCUGCGGCUCGAGGAGGCCGCAGCAGGGAGAGGCAGUGGGUGCUGCUCGCGGCCAGCCGGCUACCCGCCGGUCGUAGGAGAGCUUCGCGUGGACAUUGGCGAGGUGUGGCUGCUGGCCACGGCGGAUAG
rnacentral:rRNA from 1 species